rnacentral:lncRNA from 1 species
UAGUUGACCAUUUUCAGAUUGUUCAUACUUUUUCUUGAGGAAGAAUAAGCUUUUUCAAGUUGAUUUCGAGCUUACUUUUUAUAUUCUGAUCUGACAAAUGAAAAUGUAAAACCUGGGUUCAAUGUAUCUGAGCUGCUUUACAGUUUUCACUGCUAUACUACUGUCUCAAGAUUUAAAUUCUAAUGCAGAGUACUUUAUUGGUCUGAGGCACACAGGUAAGAAAGAUGUCAACGUUAAAUGUAUGACGUUUUUGGUACAAAAAUUAAAAACAGAAAAAAAAGAAACUACCUUGGCAUUGUGUAUUAAAUAUUUACCUAAGACUAUAAUCUCAAGUAUAAUGAUUGUGUAACAUAUACCUCUCAAAACUUAUCACCACUAAGAAUACUCCAUCAAAAUUGACAGUAAAACCCAUCCAAGAAAUGCUUAUAUAUUUUUAGUAUACUAAAAUCAUCCAUCCUGAUGGAGUAUCUUCUCAUCGUCAACCAUUCUUUUCUAAGUUUCUAUAGAGAUAGGAUCUUUACCUCUGCAUUUAAAUGAGCCUUGCCAUAAUUACUGUAGAGUGGCUUUUCAAAGAUAUUUUGUUGCACUAAAACUGUGGCCAUAAACUAAGUGAACACGAUGUGUGGAAGAGCAUAACUAGCUGUUCAAUAUUUUUGUCUAAAACACAUGCAAGAGUAAUAAAAUAUAUGCCUCCUGACACAAUAAUUACUAAUUUUUUCAUCUCUGGAAGAAAAUUGUUCAGUUGUUUUGUGAAUGUGGCUUUGGUACACAAAGCAUUAACCUUAUCUUAAUGCUUUAUUUGCUAAGCAGAUGAAUAGUGAUGCAAGCGCGGUACAGGACAGAGAGGGGAUUUGAGUCUGCUUGUGUGCCAGAGUUAGACAUGAGCUGCUCCAGCCAGGAACCUAUACGAAGAGUUUUCUAAUCUUCUUGUUUUAGUUAUUUAAUGUUGGUAUUGUUCAAACGGGUACAUGUACAAAACAAUAUUAAAAUAAGCUUUGAAGCUUGAGGUUUCUUUAGAGAAAUCUGAAUUACAGAACCAGUCAUUGAUAACACUUGCUGAUGAAUGUUGGCAAUCCCUUCCUGUUUUCUUCAUUUCUCCUAAAUGUAUGUAUAUGUUUCAAGCUUUUUUUGUUUGUUUAUUUGUUUGGUUUUUUCAAAUUAAAACUGGAAACAUAUCAUG